GCUGGGUAGUUCAGUUGGUUAGAGCAUUGUCCUAAUAUGCCAAGGUUCUGGGUUCAAUCCCCAGUCUCGGCA
rfam:Myotis lucifugus cont2.32399, whole genome shotgun sequence.